AGAGUGAAGACGAGAUAUUUUCCAUUUGUUUCCGAGACGCUGACUCAUAGUGUAUUCUAAAUUCAUCACGGAAUUUCGGUGUCGAUCUAUAUUUUCAGCCAUGAAAUGUAAUUGGCAAUCUGGCAUAAAUAUUCACUUGGGUCGUCGGCCAUUAUUAGCUGUACCUAUUCGGCUCUACGUCUCAUGACUCUCAUCUCGUGCAGAAACACUCAGACCUAUGUACGGAUGUCAGAGACAGAGAUCCCUUUGCUCAACUGUUGCAGAAAUUGAGAACACAAAAGUCUGAGCUUCAUGGCUGUUGUAUUAUUAACGCAUUGUUUUGUUGCAGCCAGCUGGUGAAAGGUAUGAUCAAGUCAAGUUGAGCUGCAGCUGCAUGCAGUUUAUCAAGCUGGUGUUACCUGAAGUUUCACUGCAGGAAGACUUUUUGAAUUGGGGUUUAUGGUGUUGCUGUUUGGUGUACAGUGGUUUUGCAGCCCCUUUCCAAUCAAGAGAUGCUCUGAAAUGGAGUUUGGUGUAGACUUGCAGUUCAACAUCACACUUAAGUGUCUCAUUAGUCUAUGUUGGUGUCCAUGCAGUGUUGAACAGUUGGGUAAAAUAUGUUGCCUGACGGCUGUCGGGCUUUUUUAAUGGGCUGCGUUUUGUCGAUAUGUCGUCUCUUGGUACCGGCGCUGAGUUUAAUCGUUUACUGCAAUGAGGCCUUCAAAUACUACACCACCAAGGCUCCAGAUUAUUUCACCACAGUUUAUGUUGGUCCGAGCUAUUACGCAGAAGCUCCGAAGUAUUUUUCUUCCCCGAACUUUCACUACCUUCACCACGCCGCCUCCUUACUAAACAGCAACGUCAACACCUUCUUACUAUACGAAGGCCUCCAAGUACUACGCCAUAAAGGCUCCUGACUACUAUGCCGAGGAUUGAACUUGUUACACCACCGAAGUUCUCAAGUACUUUUCUACAACCUACGUUGCCCCUGCUUACACCACGAAGUCAACUGAUUACUACACCACGAAGGCAUUGCAGUAUCACACCACAUAGGCAUUGGAGUAGUACACCACGAAGGUACUGGUACGUUAAACCGAGGCUCCAGUUUACUAUACUGCAACCUACGCUGCUCCAAAAUACGAAACUGAUGCUCCAAAGUACUACACCAUGAAGGCAUUGGAGUAUUACACUAUUACUUACGCUAUUACUACCUGCUACACCGAAGUUCCGAAAGCAGAACUGCCCCGAGUUCCUACUCCACUAAGGCAGCCGAAUAUUACACCCUUAACUACGAUUCCGCAAUUUUCUACAUGGAAUUUCCUAAAUACUAGAGCCGACAUUUCUACUUGAAGUAUCUUAUAUUUGUCGGUGAUUUUCAUGGUCAAUGGGAAUUAAUUCUGGAACUUUAAUGAAGAAAUAACAAUUAUUUAUGUGGGUAUUUCACUAUUUCUGUUGUAAGACUUAGUCAGUAACUUCGAGCCUGUCAACAUCGCGACAGAUUCUAUUGAUGUUGGAUUUCUUCAAGGCCGGUAUACCGAGUUGUGAAUUGCUUGUUCAAUGUUUUAGAGGUGACUACUGUCUUAGUCACUCUGCAUACGGACAUGUUCUUGUGGUUCGGCGAUGAUAUUUCAAGGGUAAGUUACGAGAAAAAACUUGUAACUGUUGAUUUUUCAAAUCUUAAAAACUUGUGAUAAGCAAGUGGCUGACCUUUGAAUAAAUGAAAG
rnacentral:lncRNA from 1 species